rnacentral:rRNA from 1 species
GGCGUGCUUAACACAUGCAAGUCGAACGGGAAAUAUUUCAUUGAGACUUCGGUGGAUUUGAUCUAUUUCUAGGGGCGGACGGGUGAGUAACGCGUGGGUAACCUGCCUUAUACAGGGGGAUAACAGUCAGAAAUGGCUGCUAAUACCGCAUAAGCGCACAGAGCUGCAUGGCUCAGUGUGAAAAACUCCGGUGGUAUAAGAUGGACCCGCGUUGGAUUAGCUGGUUGGUGGGGUAACGGCCCACCAAGGCGACGAUCCAUAGCCGGCCUGAGAGGGUGAACGGCCACAUUGGGACUGAGACACGGCCCAGACUCCUACGGGAGGCAGCAGUGGGGAAUAUUGCACAAUGGGGGAAACCCUGAUGCAGCGACGCCGCGUGAAGGAAGAAGUAUCUCGGUAUGUAAACUUCUAUCAGCAGGGAAGAUAGUGACGGUACCUGACUAAGAAGCCCCGGCUAACUACGUGCCAGCAGCCGCGGUAAUACGUAGGGGGCAAGCGUUAUCCGGAUUUACUGGGUGUAAAGGGAGCGUAGACGGUGUGGCAAGUCUGAUGUGAAAGGCAUGGGCUCAACCUGUGGACUGCAUUGGAAACUGUCAUACUUGAGUGCCGGAGGGGUAAGCGGAAUUCCUAGUGUAGCGGUGAAAUGCGUAGAUAUUAGGAGGAACACCAGUGGCGAAGGCGGCUUACUGGACGGUAACUGACGUUGAGGCUCGAAAGCGUGGGGAGCAAAC